AUUGGGUGUGGUCGUUAGAACCCCGCUUUUUCAAUCUCCAACAACGAACACUAUUUUAGAGUAUGGUACUUCAUUCUAGUUCUAGCGGUUCAUCUUGGUAUUUUAAGUUCUUAUUUUUUGUGGUGACUUAAGAAUUCUAGUUCUAGCUGUGUCUUCAGCCUCUUUCUUCGUCGUGGACCCCAAAACUCAAAUCGCGCACGUCAUUUAGCCCCUUGACCUAUCUGGGUGGAGAUCUGUUGUUCUGAGUUACUGGUUCUUGCACAACAAACUCAGUCAGAUGUCAUUUCUUCACCAUAUCAUCAAUGAAUCUUAGCAUAUUUUUACACUCGUUUGUGUGGUGUCCAGUUGUUUCAUGUAUGACCUCUGAAGGUGCUUUCAACUUUGCAAAGUUCUUGGUUUCCUCCAUCCAUUUUGCUGCUAACUCAGCUCUGUAAUUUCUCCUUUGAAAGAAUUGAUUUGGUAAUCUCGGGGAAUAGGGCCUUUUAUCACCUGAAUGUUGCCCAGCUGAAUAAACUUUGUAGUUGGCUGCUUCAGGUGACAGUUCUUGGUCAUGUUCUUGCCUGACCCAUUUCCCAUCUUUAUGGUCAACCUCCUCAAGACAUUCUAAUGCUUUCUCAGAAAAUGAGUCUCUGAUUUUACCCUUAUGCAAAACAUUCUUGAAGAAUACACAGAGAAAUUUCUCUUCAGAUUUAUCCACAGGUGCUGCUGCUGAUUUAAAUCUCUAUAAGAAGUCUGUGAAACUUUCAUUUGGUUGUUGCGCAAUUCUGAAUAUAUUUUCUACAACA